CAAGAAAUCAUUGCGCAUACAAAAAGUUGAAGACUUCCUACCGCUCGAUCUGCGCCAUUUAUUUUUGUCACUUUUCAUUCAUAAAAAAGGCAUCCUAAAUCAGGAACAGAUCCUAUUACAAACCAAAAAGAAAGUGAAAAGAGAAAAUAAGACAAUUCACGUAGUAGCACUUUGUGAAGUGAAUUCCAUUCUUGAAUUUGCUUAUCCAAAUUUCCAUUAUUGCAACAGGAGGCAUUACCAUCUUAUUUACAUUUCAAUAAUGGAUACUUGUAAAGGAUGCAGGCCAG